UGUCUCUAACAGGAAGAGGAGAAAAAUUUCAAGUCUAGUCAGGAAACAAAAGCUCAGUCAGACUCCCAUGGCCUUUAUUGAAUGGUAAAUGGAAAAGAAAGGAGGAGGGAAGGGGAAGAUGUGCUGCAAAUGGCCCAGGAAGCAAAUCCAGGACAACCGCAUGAAGGACUGCAGACUCUGCCCACACUAAACCAUCCAGUCUAACGCCUAAACGGAGGAAACAUUGUGCAUUCUUCAGAGCCAAAACGCACCAAUCGCUUCUGACACACACAAACACAGCCUUGCGCUGGCCGGGGCGAGAAAUUGUUGCACCCUCCACUCUACCAGCAAGGAUCCCUGCUCAGAUGCAAAUUCAAAUGUCAGCUUACUUUCUCCUCAAAGGCAGUGUCAGCUCAAUGAAUGAGUGGGAUCUUAAAAUCAGGUAAUUGU